rnacentral:rRNA from 1 species
UACGGAGGAUCCAAGCGUUAUCCGGAAUCAUUGGGUUUAAAGGGUCCGUAGGCGGUUUUGUAAGUCAGUGGUGAAAGCCCAUCGCUCAACGGUGGAACGGCCAUUGAUACUGCAAGACUUGAAUUAUUGGAAAGUAACUAGAAUAUGUAGUGUAGCGGUGAAAUGCUUAGAGAUUACAUGGAAUACCAAUUGCGAAGGCAGGUUACUACCAAU